rnacentral:lncRNA from 13 species
ACCUGGGCACUAAAAAGUACUCUGAACAGAGGAUUCUGAAUGUGUGCAACUUGUGUUUGGAUGGAGACAGCAUAUAGUCCCUGGUGGGAGUGAACUGAAUCCAUGUGGGAAAUAUCUUGGGAGCAAGGACAGAAGUGGAUGACUAUCACCAUCACCACAUUCCUCCAGAAGCUUAGGAAGAAAAGAGCUCUGAAAGGAGCUAUGUGGUUAUAAGUGUUCAUUUUGUUAAACAAAAGACUGAUGAGAUUAAGGUGUUGACACUAAUAUGUUAACAGAGGUUAUCUCUAGAAGAAGAGGAUAUUCAAUACAUCUACAAGAUGCUCUUCUCCCCUGAGUGAUUGAUGAGGAAUAAUUAAUGAAUACAAUGCCAGUAAUUUUGACUCUGAGGUAAAACCAGCAUACAAGCCAACAUUCUCUAGCCUCAUUUGCUUGAGUGGUAUUGCUCUAAUCUACAACAAAAGGAAAGUCUUCUGGCUUCCUCGAACUGGAAGUCCUCCAGUGUGCCAUCUGAAGCACUUAGCACCCUCCAAUUCUUUGUUGGUGUUUUAUAUGAUCAACAACAGAAACAAAUCUUCCAUUAAACCUCUGUGAGUGUGUCACUAUGGUGACACUAAACAAAAGGAAAUCAAAGUCCUCUAAAUUUGAAUAAACCAGAUAUGCAAAGACAGAUACCAGUAAUUAUAAAAAUUGAAGAACUGCAUCCUGGACAAAGCUAAGCAAAGGAAACAGUCAAGGCAACAGUAUCCCAGAGUAAAGCUUCAAGGCAGCUAAGGACAUGAUUUUCAGGGAGGUCUACACAUCACUCAAUCUCCACAGCCUCAAGUGGGAGAAAGCUUGCGGACUUCAGAACCUGACAUUUGCCAUUCCUCUGGAAAAAUUGGACUGUUUCCUCAGGUUUCCAAGACUAAGGGCCUCAUCUAUUCCACAUAUGGCAGGGAGCUGGAAUUGAUAAGUCAUUGGAAAGCCACAACCCAUGAAGGGUUACAUCCUCAGUUAAAAGGUGGACUAGUGAAAUAUCUGCCCAAUGGGAAAGAAGGACAACUAGGAUCCCAUCUUGUCCUGGGUAAUGGAAGUUAAAUAAAGGCUCUGAACAUUUGCA